UAGUUAUUAAUUUAGCUUUCCCUCCAGUUCUUUUCACUAAAAUCACAUAUUCCCUCCCAUUUUAAUCAAUAACUAAGUUGGAAAAUUUGAAAAAUAUUUCAAAAAUACAAACAAAGUUUAUCAUUGCAGUUUCUAAAGAGUAUCAUUGUGCCUUCUUUGUCAUUGUGCCUUCUUUGUCUUAUCGUCGAUGGCCCCCACACAUCCCCACGUAAAGACUCUCAUCGUCGUUGCUUGCCCGCCGCUGACUAUCUUUUCUCUAUCUCACCAUCACCGGCCGUUAUUUCAUGGGUAUUGAGGCUCGAGGCAGGACAUACAUAAUGCUUUGAGCAAGCUUUCAUCAGAGGUUGGAUGGAACCAUUAUGAUGUAUCAAGAAUCUUGAGAAUAAGAGAGCUCAAGCAACAUACGAGAGGAGAAGUCGAUUAGCAAAACAAACAAUGCAAGCACCACAAAUGCCAUUUCAAAGUCCUGUGAACUUGAUAUUGAGAGGAAAAUUUGAAGGUUUACUUAAGAGUAGAUAUAGAGGUCAUAUAUUAUGAUAGUUUAAAAUCUUCGCUCAUGGCAGAUUUCAUUAUGAUCAAGAGUUGGAGAAUCUUUCUUAUGUUUCUUAUUGUAUAUAGCUACUUGAUAAAUAGUUUAUUAGAUGCUAAAUGACACUAGUUACUAGAUUCAAAUAGGUUAGUGUUUUUGUUAUGCUGUUGACAUAAUUUAUGGAUUAAUAAUUUUGUUGUAUGGAUUAAUUACGUGCAUUAAGCUUUUUGAA